UGAACGCUGGCGGCGUGCUUAACACAUGCAAGUCGAACGAAGCACCUCUCCCGAAGAUUGACACAGCUUGCUGUAGAUUGAUUCAUUUGAGGUGACUGAGUGGCGGACGGGUGAGUAACGCGUGGGUAACCUGCCUCAUAGAGGGGGACAACAGUUGGAAACGACUGCUAAUACCGCAUAGUAAGAAGAAUUCGCAUGUUUUCUUCUUGAAAGAUUUAUCGCUAUGAGAUGGACCCGCGUCUGAUUAGCUAGUUGGUAAGGUAACGGCUUACCAAGGCGACGAUCAGUAGCCGGCUUGAGAGAGUGAACGGCCACAUUGGGACUGAGACACGGCCCAAACUCCUACGGGAGGCAGCAGUGGGGAAUAUUGCACAAUGGGGGAAACCCUGAUGCAGCGACGCCGCGUGAGUGAAGAAGUAUUUCGGUAUGUAAAGCUCUAUCAGCAGGGAAGAUAAUGACGGUACCUGACUAAGAAGCCCCGGCUAACUACGUG
rnacentral:rRNA from 1 species